AGCAGUCGCCGCGGUAAUACAGAGGGUGCGAGCGUUAAUCGGAUUUACUGGGCGUAAAGCGUGCGUAGGCGGCUUCUUAAGUCGGAUGUGAAAUCCCUGAGCUUAACUUAGGAAUUGCAUUCGAUACUGGGAAGCUAGAGUAUGGGAGAGGAUGGUAGAAUUCCAGGUGUAGCGGUGAAAUGCGUAGAGAUCUGGAGGAAUACCGAUGGCGAAGGAAGCCAUCUGGCCUAAUACUGACGCUGAGGUACGAAAGCAUGGGGAGCAAACAGGAUUAGAUACCCGGGUAGUCCCUGUCUCUUAUAC
rnacentral:rRNA from 1 species